rnacentral:lncRNA from 1 species
CAUAGGGUAUAUUUCAGGCUUUCCUAUAUCACAAAAUAUUCCCAGGAUAUUCCUGAUUUCCACGAAUCAAUCCCGUACAAACCCACAAAUUGUCAAAGCUAAAACACCUACCUUGCAGGAUUAACAAUUCUACUGGGCUCUGCCUAUCCAAUGGCAAUUCUAUUAUUUAUUGUCCCUAGUCCCUACAGAUCUGAUAGAAUCCGCUCUGCCUUACCACUGAGCUAGUAUACAGCUAGGGACUGUUCCUCAAACUCAAGGGUCUUACAGUAGAGUGGGCUAUCCCCUAGGUCGAGCUCCUAUACUACCUCACCCUGCAACCCAGCACCUUCUCAGGAUCGUCCAGGCCAGAUAGUCGACCUUACGACACUAUGAGUGGACACUCUCUCCUGGGUUGGUUUAGUCCAGAAUCACCCCUCAUAUGACUCCUACCAAUGCACUCAGUACCUUUAGUUGGGUCUCAGGUUCCUUCAUACCAGCAAUUCAGGUUCCCGAUGGACUAAUUAACCAGAUGCUAUAAAUCCUCAAUUAAUCCAGUGUGUUUCAGAAACCAGGAGUAAAACGACAUGCACUCCUAUGACUCUUUGAUGACACCGAGUUUCAGAACAAUAAAACAAGUUUAUUCAAAAUUCCAGAAACAGGCAUUAAAAAUCACAGAUCAAUCAAUCAAUCAUAAAUCAAUAUCCCCAAUCGAUGAUAAGCAAAAAUAUAACUUGGAUUAAAUUGAGAGAUGCCUUCAGCGCCCAUAACUAAACCCUUAUCUAAACCCUUAUUAGUGUGUGUCAAUAAAAUAUGUUUGGUCUAUAACAAUUUUAUGAGAAGCACAGUGUUCAAUAACAAGAAAAACAAGUUCUUACCUUCUACAAAUUAUAAACAGAUUUUUGUCUCCCCCUUCAGGUUUCUCAGUCCCUCAGUUGGUGUCUAAAAAACUAACAGCUACUAGAACACUCCUAUCAGUGAGGUAACCUUUAGGGUUCCUCCUAGAAUGUACUAGAACAUUCCUAUCAAUGAGGUAACCUUUAGGGUUCCUCCUAGAAUGUACUAGAACACUUCUAUCAAUGAGGUAACCUUUAGGGUUCCUCCUAGAAUGUACUAGAACACUCCUAUCAGUGAGGUAACCUUUAGGGUUCCUCCUAGAAUGUACUAGAACACUCCUAUCAGUGAGGUAACCUUUAGGGCUCCUCCUAGAAUGUACUAGAACACUCCUAUCAAUGAGGUAACCUUCAGGGUUCCUCCUAGAAUGUACUAGAACACUCCUAUCAAUGAGGUAACCUUUAGGGUUCCUCCUAGAAUGUACUAGAACACUCCUAUCAAUGAGGUAACCUUCAGGGUUCCUCCUAGAAUGUACUAGAACACUCCUAUCAGUGAGGUAACCUUCAGGGUUCCUCCUAAAAUGUACUAGAACACUUCUAUCAAUGAGGUAACCUUCAGGGUUCCUCCUAAAAUGUACUAGAACACUCCUAUCAAUGAGGUAACCUUUAGGGUUCCUCCUAGAAUGUACUAGAACACUCCUAUCAAUGAGGUAACAUUCAGGGUUCCUCCUAGAAUGUACUAGAACACUUUCAGAAUAAAAAACCAAGUAUAUUAAAAAUCUAAAUGAAUCUGAAGUUAAAAAGCUUCAGUAAAAGUCUUUCUCCAGCAGACGACAGGUUCUUCUAGCAAACUCAAAGAGAGUCAUUCCCUUCCCAUGAAACCUGCUUCCUUUAUACCCUUAAUGCCUCUUCUGAUAAAUCAUCAGGAUGACCACCUGCUCCACUGAUGCCUUCGGUGGUUAACACCUAAUGAAUGCAUCCAUCUUCUCAAAAGGUGCUUUUUCAGCCCCCACUAACCUCCACGUUUUCCCACCUAGGCAGAACGUACGCUUCAACCUACUUGCUGCUCUGACCUGGGGAUUUCCAGAUCAAGCUAGCACCCUUAAUAUACUUCAUGAACAUCAACUUCUUAAAACAUACAUUUUUCAAACAUGAAACUUUCCUAUUCCCUUCACCCUCCUACCUUUAACUAAAUUAUAGUCUUUCUACAACCUAAUUUAUUACUCAAGUUAUAUCUCAAUACAUCAAUAUUUUAAACAUUUCAACAUUAUAACAUUUUACCAUUAUAACGUCUCAUUAUCAACCUCCUAAGGCCUUGUCCUCUAAGCCUAAUCAAACACAGUCUAUAUGAUUCACACCUUAAGGAAAACAACAUUAUAUCUCCCAAUGUUUAAUAACCUGUCUACAGGAAAGAACCUCAGUCUACCUUUGUACAUUACCAAACAGGAAAGAACCUCAGUCUACCUCUGUACAUUACCAAACAGGAAAGAACCUCAGUCUACCUCUGUACAUUACCAAACAGGAAAGAACCUCAGUCUACCUCUGUACAUUACCAAA